rnacentral:rRNA from 1 species
GUUCCUACGGGAGGCAGCAGUGGGGAAUAUUGCACAAUGGGCGAAAGCCUGAUGCAGCGACGCCGCGUGAGGGAUGACGGCCUUCGGGUUGUAAACCUCUUUCAGCAGGGAAGAAGCGAAAGUGACGGUACCUGCAGAAGAAGCGCCGGCUAACUACGUGCCAGCAGCCGCGGUAAUACGUAGGGCGCAAGCGUUGUCCGGAAUUAUUGGGCGUAAAGAGCUCGUAGGCGGCUUGUCACGUCGGGUGUGAAAGCCCGGGGCUUAACCCCGGGUCUGCAUCCGAUACGGGCAGGCUAGAGUGUGGUAGGGGAGAUCGGAAUUCCUGGUGUAGCGGUGAAAUGCGCAGAUAUCAGGAGGAACACCGGUGGCGAAGGCGGAUCUCUGGGCCAUUACUGACGCUGAGGAGCGAAAGCGUGGGGAGCGAACAGGAUUAGAUACCCUGGUAGUCCACGCCGUAAACGUUGGGAACUAGGUGUUGGCGACAUUCCACGUCGUCGGUGCCGCAGCUAACGC